rnacentral:rRNA from 1 species
GUCUCUUCGGGGAUGAUUAAACCGGCGCACGGGUGAGUAACAUGUGAGUGACCUGCCUUUUAGACUGGAACAACUUACCGAAAGGUGAGCUAAUGCCGGAUGAGUUAUAUAAGUGCAUGUUUAUAUAGGAAAAGUUGGGGAGACCUGACGCUGAAAGAUGGACUCGCGUCCCAUUAGCUAGUUGGUAGGGUAAUGGCCUACCAAGGCGACGAUGGGUAGCCGGCCUGAGAGGGUGGCCGGCCACACUGGGACUGAGACACGGCCCAGACUCCUACGGGAGGCAGCAGUGGGGAAUUUUGCGCAAUGCUCGUAAGAGUGACGCAGCGACGCCGCGUGAAUGACGAAGGCCUUCGGGUCGUAAAGUUCUUUCGACAGGGAAGAAAAUGCCUAUAAGUAACUGUGUAUGUAUUGACGGUACCUGUAUAAGCAGCCCCGGCUAACUCCGUGCCAGCAGCCGCGGUAAUACGGAGGGGGCGAGCGUUGUUCGGAGUGACUGGGCGUAAAGAGCACGUAGGCGGUGUUGUAAGUCAUUAGUCAAAGACUAGAGCUCAACUUUAGUAAGGCUAGUGAUACUAUAAUACUAGAGUAUCAGAGAGGAUUGCAGAAUUCCUGGUGUAGCGGUGAAAUGCGUAGAUAUCAGGAGGAAUACCGUUAGCGAAGGCGGCAAUCUGGCUGGAAACUGACGCUGAGGUGCGAAAGCGUGGGUAGCAAACAGGAUUAGAUACCCUGGUAGUCCACGCUGUAAACGAUGGAUGCUAGGUGUUGGGCUUUUAAGUUCAGUGCCGC